UGCAUGUUACAUUUUCAAACUUUCGGACUCUCGAGUCUUCUUUAUUAAGUUUUUUAAUGUCUGGGAAAGAAUUAAGAUUUUGCCAAGAAGUUCAUCUAGGUAGCUCUCAGCAACUUCUUCCAAUAUCUUCCGUCCCUUUCCUCCAUAAAUCCUUCUGCAAUCUAUGAUCGAAUUGACCUCAUUCGCUUCAUUGCAUAAUGUUCAGGGAAUAUGCUGAAAUCACUAAUAGUCACAAUUGCGAGGGGUAGUCUCUAGCAUUUUUCUAUCAGGUUUUGAGCAAUACCCGUCAAAGGUGGAAGGCAGCCAUGCCCUUGGAAUGCUGAUUUGCAAAACAGACUCCAAGAUGCUUCAAGAGACGAGGGUUGCAGAUGAUAUACCUGAUAUGACCACGCGAAAAAUAUUUGCGAAAAAUAUUGAUUGCUUUCGUUAUGCAAUAUUGGCGAAAAAUAUCCUUUUAAGAUUUCUUCCAUCUUGAAUAACUGCGAAAGACUGAUUCGAGCAUGGACCUUCAAAUCUCUGACAACCUUAGGAUCAUCAUAGACUUCUUUGACUAGUGUGGUUUUCCCCAAUCCUCUUUGACUAGUGUGGUUUUCCCCAAUCCUCCUAUUCCUACCACUGAAAUGACUUUGACAUAUUGUGCUUCAGUUGGCCACCCAAUCAGCUGCUUCUUAGCCUUGUCAACGCCAACAAGCUCAUAAGUGUCUUGUAGCCGGAGAGGCUCUUUUCGACUAUCAUCCCACAUGCUGUUUGUUGCUGUAGUACUAGUGGAGCUCGAGUCUCGCUCUUCUUGGACAUAGAACUUGUACGUCUGAUGAUAUCCUUUAGAAACACUUUCAUUUCUUGAUUUGAUGCUUCUUAAUUUAGAAGCAAUUUUGAUGACAAUGAUAAACAUCCUCGACCGACAAGAUCUUAGAGAUGAAGCGUUUUUUAUUACUUGCUAGACGAAGGGAGAAUUCAUCAAAAACAUCUUCAAUGUCAAAAGCAGUUUCUCGUACUUGCUUAAUCCAUACUUGAGCUUGAGGAUCAGUUUCUUCCAUCGCCUCUGCUACUCUCAAGAAAGCCAUUAUUUGCUCCGGUUCAUCUUUGAUGGAUUCAAACUCCCCUCCAACUCCUCUCAGUAUUUCUGAUUCUUCCUCAAGGAAGAGCUCCAGCCAGCAAAAAGCAAAAAGGAAACUAAACUUUCAGCCAUUGGUUCGCUCUUGAUUAGUUUUUUGCUUGCAGGAACUGAAAGAAAUGAUAUCAGUAAGUUUACAACAUUUUAAAAGUGAUGAACUAAGGAAGGGAAAAGGAAGGGAAAACGAUCCUAGAUAGCCCAACCUUUAACCAUUUUCGCGAAUCUAGCCUCAUUUUUAAAACGUAUCAAUUUGGUCCACCAUAUUUGCGUCUUGUAUCAUUCCUACCCACCCGUGUUUUGGCGUGUGCCAGUAAUGACAUAACGUCCACACGUGGCUCCACAUGUUUGUCUACGUGGCUGAGCAUAAUGAAGGACCUCAAAACUCACAGUUUCGUCCUAACAUUUCUCCAAUUUUUUUUCCAAUUCUAAUUUCUAGGAUUUAUUUGUUAACUAAAUGCUGCAGUGUUUGUCAAUGGGAAAUUCUACAAGAACCCAAAUCUUACCGUA